UCCUGACUGACCGAUAGUGAACCAGUACCGUGAGGGAAAGGCGAAAAGAACCCCGGCGAGGGGAGUGAAAAAGAACCUGAAACCGUGUACGUACAAGCAGUGGGAGCCUCUUUAUGGGGUGACUGCGUACCUUUUGUAUAAUGGGUCAGCGACUUAUAUUCUGUAGCAAGGUUAACCGAAUAGGGGAGCCGAAGGGAAACCGAGUCUUAACUGGGCGUUAAGUUGCAGGGUAUAGACCCGAAACCCGGUGAUCUAGCCAUGGGCAGGUUGAAGGUUGGGUAACACUAACUGGAGGACCGAACCGACUAAUGUUGAAAAAUUAGCGGAUGACUUGUGGCUGGGGGUGAAAGGCCAAUCAAACCGGGAGAUAGCUGGUUCUCCCCGAAAGCUAUUUAGGUAGCGCCUCGUGAAUUCAUCUCCGGGGGUAGAGCACUGUUUCGGCAAGGGGGUCAUCCCGACUUACCAACCCGAUGCAAACUGCGAAUACCGGAGAAUGUUAUCACGGGAGACACACGGCGGGUGCUAACGUCCGUCGUGAAGAGGGAAACAACCCAGACCGCCAGCUAAGGUCCCAAAGUCAUGGUUAAGUGGGAAACGAUGUGGGAAGGCCCAGACAGCCAGGAUGUUGGCUUAGAAGCAGCCAUCAUUUAAAGAAAGCGUAAUAGCUCACUGGUCGAGUCGGCCUGCGCGGAAGAUGUAACGGGGCUAAACCAUG
rnacentral:rRNA from 1 species